AUUGGUGUGUGUGAUGACUGCAAACUUUUUUCCCCAUCAGAGCGGAAGUGUUGAUCUCUUGCUGCUAAGCCAGAAUCUGUCUGAUACACCAUU